GAUAAACGCUGGCGGCGUGCCUAACACAUGCAAGUCGAACGUCCUCUCUCGCAAGAGAGAGGGAGUGGCGGACGGGUGAGUAACACAUGGGUCACCUACCCUUAAGUGAGGAAUACCGGCGAGAAAUCGCCGACAAGACCGCAUAGGCUCUCUCUUUUGCAAGAGAGAGCAAAGCUUCGCAAGAGGCGCUUGAGGAUGGGCCUGUGGCCGAUUAGCUGGUUGGAGGGUAAUGGCUUACCAAGGCGACGAUCGGUAGCUGGUCUGAGAGGACGAUCAGCC
rnacentral:rRNA from 1 species